ensembl:snoRNA
CUUCCCGAUCUCCGAUCCAGCCCCACAUGAGCCUGCGAUAUUUUCCUUAUAUGAUCGGGCCCGUGGUGGGCGGCGCCGCUCGCCCGGAGCCUGAGAGGAUUAUGAGACGCGUUAGGCGAUGCGGGGCCAGGGGAUCGGGCG